rnacentral:rRNA from 1 species
AUUGAACGCUGGCGGCAUGCCUUACACAUGCAAGUCGAACGGUAACGCGGGGCAACCUGGCGACGAGUGGCGAACGGGUGAGUAAUGCAUCGGAACGUGCCCAGUAGUGGGGGAUAGCUCGGCGAAAGCCGGAUUAAUACCGCAUACGACCUACGGGUGAAAGCGGGGGAUCGCAAGACCUCGCGCUAUUGGAGCGGCCGAUGUCAGAUUAGGUUGUUGGUGAGGUAAAGGCUCACCAAGCCGACGAUCUGUAGCUGGUCUGAGAGGACGACCAGCCACACUGGGACUGAGACACGGCCCAGACUCCUACGGGAGGCAGCAGUGGGGAAUUUUGGACAAUGGGGGCAACCCUGAUCCAGCCAUGCCGCGUGCGGGAAGAAGGCCUUCGGGUUGUAAACCGCUUUUGUCGGGGAAGAAACGCUCCGGGCCAAUACCCUGGGGUAAUGACGGUACCCGAAGAAUAAGCACCGGCUAACUACGUGCCAGCCGCCGCCGUAACAC